rnacentral:rRNA from 1 species
GAUCCUGGCUUAGGAUGAACGCUGGCGGCGUGCCUAACACAUGCAAGUCGAACGGACGAUGAAGAGUAGCUUGCUAUGAUUCAAAGUUAGUGGCGGACUGGUGAGUAAUGUAUGAGCAACCUGCCUUUCAGAGGGGAAUAACACAAUGAAAGUUGUGCUAAUACCGCAUGACACUGUAUUAUCGCAUGAUUGUACAGUCAAAGGAGCAAUCCGCUGAGAGAUGGGCUCAUAUCCGAUUAGACAGUUGGUGGGGUAACGGCCUACCAAAUCAACGAUCGGUAGCCGGACUGAGAGGUUGAACGGCCACAUUGGAACUGAGAUACGGUCCAGACUCCUACGGGAGGCAGCAGUGGGGAAUAUUGGGCAAUGGACGAAAGUCCUGACCCAGCAACGCCGCGUGAAGGAAGAAGGUCCUCGGAUUGUAAACUUUUGUCUUAUGGGACGAUAAUGACGGUACCAUAGGAGGAAGCCACGACUAACUACGUGCCAGCCGCGGC